UCGCGACGAUAUUGGCAUGGCAUCUGCAUUACCAAUCACCAGCGAACAUAGCGCCAGCCCCUCAAUGACGAGAGCCUGGCUUCCCGAUCGAGCGGGACACGGACAAAGGCGUCCUCACCGGAUAACCGGUGGGACGCC
rnacentral:sRNA from 1 species